rnacentral:rRNA from 1 species
UGGGGAAUUGUUCGCAAUGGGCGCAAGCCUGACGACGCAACGCCGCGUGGAGGAUGAAGGUCUUCGGAUUGUAAACUCCUGUUGCUCGGGACGAAAUGCCUCGACCUAAUACGUCGAAGUUUGACGGUACCGAGUGAGGAAGCCCCGGCUAACUCUGUGCCAGCAGCCGCGGUAAUACAGAGGGGGCAAGCGUUGUUCGGAAUUACUGGGCGUAAAGGGCGCGUAGGCGGCCUGUUAAGUCGAACGUGAAAUCCCUGGGCUCAACCCAGGAACUGCGUCCGAUACUGGCAGGCUUGAAUCCGGGAGAGGGAUGCGGAAUUCCAGGUGUAGCGGUGAAAUGCGUAGAUAUUGGGAAGAACACCCGUGGCGAAGGCGGCCAUCUGGACCGGUAUUGACGCUAAAGCGCGACAGCGUGGGGAGCAAACAGGAUUAGAUACCCACGUAGUCCCUGAGCGGGCUGGCAAGGCGCAU